rnacentral:rRNA from 1 species
GAUGAACGCUGGCGGCGUGCUUAACACAUGCAAGUCGAACGGAAAGGCUCCUGCUUGCAGGGGUACUCGAGUGGCGAACGGGUGAGUAACACGUGGGUGAUCUGCCCUGCACUUCGGGAUAAGCCUGGGAAACUGGGUCUAAUACCGGAUAGGACCACAUUUUGGAUGGUGUGGUGGAAAGUUUUGCGGUGUGGGAUGAGCUCGCGGCCUAUCAGCUUGUUGGUGGGGUAAUGGCCUACCAAGGCGUCGACGGGUAGCCGGCCUGAGAGGGUGUACGGCCACAUUGGGACUGAGGGACGGCCCAGACGCCUACGGGAAGCAGCAGUGGGGAAUAUUGCACAAUGGGGGCAAGCCUGAUGCAGCGACGUCGCGUGGGGGAUGACGGCCUUCGGGUUGUAAACUCCUUUCGAUAGGGACGAAGCGCAAGUGACGGUACCUGGAGAAGAAGCACCGGCUAACUACGUG